GAGGGGGAGGGAUGUGGGGGGAGUGUACGGUGUUCUGGGCCAGGCUUCCAGAACCUUUAAUUCAGAAUCAGAAUAAAUUUAUAGAAAUCUAAACUACUGCAUCGAUUUUCUUCAAACUUUUUGUGUAAACUUACAGUAAUUUAUCUCAGCGGAUAGGUAAGUUUCGAUUCAUUUGGUAAUACUAAAUUUUAUUUCAUUUUAUGCGGAUUUAGUCAUUAGCUUUUUGUGACUUAGGACAACCACAACAUCAAUUCGAUUGUCUGUUUGUUUUGUUUUUGUUGCUGAUUUACCAGUUACCGAACGUUGUCAUCAUGUUGACAUGGCAAAAGACUAUACUAUGGAUUACCUUAUUCAUCAUUGUCAUUGUAAUUGUUUCGCAUAGCUAAAUGCUUCAUGAAGGGAAAAUGACCAUGAUUUUCAUGGUAGUGUAUUAAACCAUUUCUCUGAGUCACUCACUGAUUUUGUUGUGACGCCCAGUAAAAUGACCAUUAAAUGGGUUUGCUUGAUUUUCAUGGUAGUGCACUAAACCAUUUCUGUGAGUCACUCACUGAUAUCAACACCAUAUGAUGAGUAGUCAUCAUGUAUGGCUAAUGAUUAGAAGUUAGACAUGAAUAUGUAUCGUCCUCACCUAAAUUUGGAUGUGCACAUGUCUGUUUCAGAAAGAAAGUUAAGGAUAGGAGAAGAUGAGCACAUUAGCUUAGGCAUACCAGUAAUUUUAAAUCUACGUUGAUUGCAUCUGUUGGAAAAAUGGAAAUUUAUUUAACAUUUGAUUUUAACUGAAUAGUCGUAUGUGUAAUAUAUUUUCAAAUGCAAUCAUUGAUGUCUUAAAAUCUUCGAGAGCUGUGCCGUAUCACGACAGAAAUGUUUACCUAAAUCACAUUUUGACUUGGCAUUGUUGUAAUCAUUGUAAUUUUUCAUUUUCUAAUAUACCACCGUUUUAACUAUU